rnacentral:rRNA from 1 species
UACAGAGGGUGCAAGCGUUAAUCGGAAUUACUGGGCGUAAAGCGUGCGCAGGCGGUGAUGUAAGACAGUUGUGAAAUCCCCGGGCUCAACCUGGGAACUGCAUCUGUGACUGCAUUGCUGGAGUGCGGCAGAGGGGGAUGGAAUUCCGCGUGUAGCAGUGAAAUGCGUAGAUAUGCGGAGGAACACCGAUGGCGAAGGCAAUCCCCUGGGCCUGCACUGACGCUCAUGCACGAAAGCGUGGGGAGCAAACAGG